UAAAACUUUCAACAACGGAUCUCUUGGUUCUGGCAUCGAUGAAGAACGCAGCGAAAUGCGAUAAGUAAUGCGAAUUGCAGAAUUCCGUGAGUCAUCGAAUCUUUGAACGCACAUUGCGCCCUUUGGUAUUCCGAAGGGCAUGCCUGUCCGAGCGUCAUUA
rnacentral:rRNA from 1 species